GUGGGCAUUAGGCUUAAUACCUAGGUGACAAAAUAAUCUGCACAACACACCCCCAUGACAUGGGUUUACCUAUACGACAACCCUGCACAUGUACCCCUCAACUUAAAAGUUAAAAAAAAGGACUUCAACAUAUGAACUUUGGGGGGACACACACAUUCAGACCAUGGCAGGUCAGCCAAGCCCCUUCUGAAGAGGUAAGCAUUGAGCAGGAACCCAAAUCCUGUUUGUUUAUUUAUUUAUUUAUUUUGAGACAGAGUCUCCCUCUGUUGCCAGGCUGGAGGGCAGUGGCGUGAUCUCGGCUCACUGCAACCUCUGACUCCCAGGUUCAAGCAAUUCUCCUGCCUCAGCCUCCCAAUUAGCUGGGAUUACAGGCAUGCACCACCACGCCCAGCUGAUUUUUGUAUUUUUUUUUUUUUUGAGAUGGAGUCUUACUCUUGUCACCCAGGCUGGAGUGCAGUGGCAAGAUCUCGGCUCACUGCAACCUCCGCCACCUGAGUUCAAGCGAUUCUCCUGCCUCAGCCUCCCGAGUCGGUGGGAUUACAGGUGCCUGCCACCGCGCCUAAUUUUUUUGUAUUUUUAGCAGAGACGGGGUUUCAGCAUCUUGGCCAGGCUGGUCUUGAACUCCUGACCUCAUGAUCCACCCGCCUCGGCCUCCCAAAGUGCUGGGAUUACAGGCGUGAGCCACCACGCCCAGCCAGAACCCAAGUUCUAGAGGUAACGACGCCAGGCCAGGCAGAAGCUUCCAACAUGGCAAAACCCCAUCUCUACUAAAAAUACAGAAAAUUGGCCAGGCAUGGUGUCGGGUGCCUGUAAUCCCAGGCUACUAGGCCCCUUCCCAAGGACCCCAGGGACUCAGAGGAGCUGCCAGUGCCAAGGCCCUGAGAGGGGCACAAGCUUAGAGGGUGGGCUCCAAUAAGAGGGCCAGAGGGCAUGAAAGGUGGGAGGUGAGGUUGUAGUCUGGUUACCCUGGGCCUCACACCAUGGCACUGAGCUCGAGUAUUCCAAUAUGAGACAGGAGGCGACUGACAGCGCGCCGGCCCCACCAAUCUUUGGCCAGGAGUUUGCAACCUGCUCAGGUGGCUCCCAUCCCGAGUCUACACCUGUGCUUGCUGCCAGAGCCCUUCUGUGCACUCUCCCCUGCACAGCCUAACUCCUGGGAAGGUCUACACAGCUGGUGCCUCAUCCUCUCCCCCUCAACUUGCCCUCUGGCAGCCUGAGUUGCAGCCACCCCCCCCAAGUCCUGGCCCAAACAGCUCCUGCAGGGGGUCAUUCAGCUCCAAGAUUCCAGGGUGGGGACAGAGACUUGCGUUUCCUUUUUACUUUCUGGCGUUUCUGAUUUCUCCACACUGAACCUGUCUUGUGUGAGAAUAAAAGCUGUACACAGGGAAAACUCCAACACACCCUUUCCAGUGAGCUGGCUUGACCCUCGGUGCCCCGUGACAGUCCCUCCGGCCUUGCUGUCCUGUGCUGGCCUUGGGUCUGCCCUGCCCCUUAAAAGGCUGGGGUCCUCAGGGCUGCACAGAGCCCUGCCUCCUCUGGGAUGGGAGGUCCAGGGCUCUGUGGAACAUGGGAGUUUGAGAAAGCACAUUCUGUGCUGUAACCUUAUCCUCAGGAAAUGAAAUAAAACAAUAGACACUGAACCCAAGUGUCCAAGAUGUAGGCAUACGGAUUCAUUUACUUGGCACCAACUUUUUCACUCCUCCUUUCUGGUCUCUCCUCAGCCCUGACAUGGAGGUCAGGGAUUUGUGUCUGUCUUGUCCCCAACACAGGGCACAGGGCAGUGCGCCGACUGAGUGCAUGAUUCCCAGGCAGCAGGGAAACAGGGUGCUCAGGAAGAUGUGGUUUUGCAAAGUUUAGUAACCCAGCAGCACACCCGUGUGGACGCAUCCCUUUCCAGUGCCUG
rnacentral:lncRNA from 1 species